GUGCAACCGGGGAGUUAGCGGUGCCCUGUUGCCUGCAAUCCGCUAUAGCAGGGGUGAUGGCAUGUGUCGGGCUUGCCUACGAGGAGCAGCCCGAAGUUUGGCGGCGUUGAUGUUUGGGUCUUACGCAAUGGAAAUCUGUGAACCGUGUCAGGGCAGGAAUGCAGCAGCACUAAGCGGAAUCUUUCAUGUGCCGUGAGGAAGCCUGGGCUGAGCCGUCUUCUUCGGUAACGU
rnacentral:SRP_RNA from 1 species